GAUGAACGCUAGCGGCAGGCCUAACACAUGCAAGUCGAGGGAGAGGUUACCUUCGGGUAACCAAAACCGGCGCACGGGUGCGUAACGCGUAUACAAUCUGCCUUUCACAUAGGGAUAGCCCGAAGAAAUUUGGAUUAAUACCUAAUGGUAUAUAAGAGCGGCAUCGUUUUUAUAUUAAAGCUACGGUGGUGAAAGAUGAGUAUGCGUUCUAUUAGCUAGUUGGAGAGGUAACGGCUCCCCAAGGCGACGAUAGAUAGGGGUUCUGAGAGGGAUGUCCCCCACACUGGUACUGAGAUACGGACCAGACUCCUACGGGAGGCAGCAGUGAGGAAUAUUGGACAAUGGUCGGAAGACUGAUCCAGCCAUGCCGCGUGCAGGAUGAAGGUCCUAUGGAUUGUAAACUGCUUUUGUAAGGGAAGGAUAAGGAGUACGUGUACUUUGAUGACGGUACCUUACGAAUAAGCAUCGGCUAACUCCGUG
rnacentral:rRNA from 1 species